GUUAAGCGACUAAGCGUACACGGUGGAUGCCCUGGCAGUCAGAGGCGAUGAAGGACGUGCUAAUCUGCGAUAAGCGUCGGUAAGGUGAUAUGAACCGUUAUAACCGGCGAUUUCCGAAUGGGGAAACCCAGUGUGAUUCGUCACACUAUCAUUAACUGAAUCCAUAGGUUAAUGAGGCGAACCGGGGGAACUGAAACAUCUAAGUACCCCGAGGAAAAGAAAUCAACCGAGAUUCCCCCAGUAGCGGCGAGCGAACGGGGAGCAGCCCAGAGCCUGAAUCAGUGUGUGUGUUAGUGGAAGCGUCUGGAAAGGCGUGCGAUACAGGGUGACAGCCCCGUACACAAAAAUGCACAUACUGUGAGCUCGAUGAGUAGGGCGGGACACGUGGUAUCCUGUCUGAAUAUGGGGGGACCAUCCUCCAAGGCUAAAUACUCCUGACUGACCGAUAGUGAACCAGUACCGUGAGGGAAAGGCGAAAAGAACCCCGGCGAGGGGAGUGAAAAAGAACCUGAAACCGUGUACGUACAAGCAGUGGGAGCACGCUUAGGCGUGUGACUGCGUACCUUUUGUAUAAUGGGUCAGCGACUUAUAUUCUGUAGCAAGGUUAACCGAAUAGGGGAGCCGAAGGGAAACCGAGUCUUAACUGGGCGUUAAGUUGCAGGGUAUAGACCCGAAACCCGGUGAUCUAGCCAUGGGCAGGUUGAAGGUUGGGUAACACUAACUGGAGGACCGAACCGACUAAUGUUGAAAAAUUAGCGGAUGACUUGUGGCUGGGGGUGAAAGGCCAAUCAAACCGGGAGAUAGCUGGUUCUCCCCGAAAGCUAUUUAGGUAGCGCCUCGUGAAUUCAUCUCCGGGGGUAGAGCACUGUUUCGGCAAGGGGGUCAUCCCGA
rnacentral:rRNA from 1 species